UAAAAGCAAAGAAACAUCUGUUUUGAAUGUCUCUUGUUUCUGUAUCAAGUGGACAAAAUGGACAACUUUAAUGGCAUGAUUAGGGGCAGAGCCAGGAUUAUGUUAUACGAGGUGCCAAGGGGAAAACAAAUUCACUUAUGCUUUCUUUCUCCUACUUUUUUGUUUGACUUUUCUCCCAUUUGUUUUUAUCCUUUGAUCUUUCUUGGCAUGUCUUUCCCUUUUCACAGUGAAACACUCCAAACCAUAGCUCAAUGGCGAUGCAGUUCCUCUCUCUUUCUGUCUAUAGUUCCUUUUGUGGCAUUGGAUAUCCAAAUAUCUAUAUGCCUAGUUUGAGGAUCACGCAUUCCACAAGAGCAGUUGCUACUAAAG
rnacentral:lncRNA from 1 species